rnacentral:rRNA from 1 species
GAUGAACGCUGGCGGCAUGCCUAACACAUGCAAGUCGAUCGGUAAGGCUCUUCGGAGUACACGAGAGGCGGACGGCUGAGUAACGCGUAGGAACACACCCUGCAGUGAGGGAUAAGACACCGAAAGGUGUUCUAAUACCGCAUACGGUCUUCGGAUUAAAGCAUUUAUGCGCUGAAGGAGUGGCCUGCGUCAUAUUAGAUAGUUGGUGAGGUAAUGGCUCACCAAGUCGAUGAUGUGUAGCUGGUCUGAGAGGAUGAUCAGCCAGACUGGAACUGAGACACGGUCCAGACUCCUACGGGAAGCAGCAGUGAGGAAUAUUUCGCAAUGAGCGAAAGCUUGAUGGAGCAAUGCCGCGUGCAGGAUGAAGGCCCUCGGGUUGUAAACUGCUUUUAUAAGAGAAGAUUAUGACGGUAACUUAUGAAUAAGGGACGGCUAACUACGUG